GAUGAACGCUGGCGGCGUGCCUAAUACAUGCAAGUCGAGCGAACGGACGAGAAGCUUGCUUCUCUGAUGUUAGUGGCGGACGGGUGAGUAACACGUGGAUAACCUACCUAUAAGACUGGGAUAACUUCGGGAAACCGGAGCUAAUACCGGAUGAUAUUUUGAACCGCAUGGUUCAAAAGUGAAAGACGGUCUUGCUGUCACUUAUAGAUGGAUCCGCGCUGCAUUAGCUAGUUGGUAAGGUAACGGCUUACCAAGGCAACGAUGCAUAGCCGACCUGAGAGGGUGAUCGGCCACACUGGAACUGAGACACGGUCCAGACUCCUACGGGAGGAAGCAGUAGGGAAUCUUCCGCAAAGGGCGAAAGCCUGACGGAGCAACGCCGCGUGAGUGAUGAAGGUCUUCGGAUCGUAAAACUCUGUUAUUAGGGAAGAACAUAUGUGUAAGUAACUGUGCACAUCUUGACGGUACCUAAUCAGAAAGCCACGGCUAACUACGUG
rnacentral:rRNA from 1 species